GUUAACAGGUAUACAUACUAUGUUUGUUAUUAC
rnacentral:misc_RNA from 2 species